rnacentral:rRNA from 1 species
CGCGUAGGUGGUUUUGUAAGUUGGAGGUGAAAUCCCCGGGCUCAACCUGGGAACUGCCUCCAAAACUGCAUGACUAGAGUACGGUAGAGAGUAGUGGAAUUUCCUGUGUAGCGGUGAAAUGCGUAGAUAUAGGAAGGAACACCAGUGGCGAAGGCGACUACCUGGACUGAUACUGACACUGAGGUGCGAAAGCGUGGGGAACAAACA